rnacentral:rRNA from 1 species
AGCAAACACCAUGCCAUCCUGAGCACACUUGGUCUCAUUUCAUACAGGAAAUGAAGCAGGACUGGGCCUGAUUAGUACUUGGAUGGGAUAUUGUUGGUUAGUACAGGGAAUGUGCUG